UACAGAGGCCUCGAGCGUUAGGCGGAAUCACUGGGCUUAAAGCGUGUGUAGGCGGACUUCUAAGUACCUUGUGAAAUCCCACGGCUCAACCGUGGAACUGCUUGGUAUACUGGUCGUCUUGAGCCAUCUAGGGGCGAGCGGAACAAGUGGUGGAGCGGUGAAAUGCGUAGAUAUCACUUGGAACGCCAACGGUGAAAACAGCUCGCUGGGGAUGUGCUGACGCUGAGACACGAAAGCCAGGGGAGCAAACGGG
rnacentral:rRNA from 1 species